AAUUCUCAAAACCCCCUUUUCUUGUCGAGAAGAGAGGAUUUUGGACUUGGAGGUUUGAUGCUUGCUUUUGGGUCUCAAAAGUGAGCUCCUCUCAAAUGAAUUAGUGGGGUCUGCUUUGUCGGUCCUUGACGUGAUAAGAUGUUUUGACGUUUUGGACUUGGCACUGUCUAUUGGACACCUGCUUCUAACCGUCCGCCUUGUGGACAAAUGAUGGUGCUUCGGUCUCCUCCGUCCACGUUGGCGGGGGGAGGCUGGACCCACAAAGAAAA
rnacentral:misc_RNA from 1 species